rnacentral:lncRNA from 1 species
GGUACCCACGGUGGAGGGAGGUGGGAGGCCGAGACGGCCCCGGGGGUCGGCGGAGACCCAGCGGGAGCAGGGGGAAAUCGGAAGAGCUGGGGGCAUGGAGCGGGCGAGUUUGGAGCGGAAUGAGCCGGUUAGUGGCCCGAUUUAGACCAGCAGAGCUCGCCCGGGCGCUUCAUUCAUUCGUUUUGUUUUAAGGCCCUGGCGGCGGAUCCCUUGGAAAGGGGAGGAGAUCGCUGUCUGUUUCAAAGACAUUUACACCGGCCAGGACGGAGGCCCUGGGAAGUGUGCGCUAGAGGGAACAGCCGGGCGGCCGAGGGCGGAGAGGCGGCGCGAAUGUGACCUCAGCGGCCGCCGCGCUCCCUCCCGCCCUCUCCCGCUCCGGGCUCGGGUUUCUAGGACUGCCUGGAGAAGUGUGUCUUGUGCACAGCUCUGGAAUGCAUUUGGCAGGCUGACGAGCAGCGAGGGGCAGCAUCCUGGAGGGAGGAGGGGUGCAGCUCGCCCGCGCGCCGCCGGCAGGUUUCCUCCCGGCCUGGAAGACCUCCGGCACCCGCCACUCGGCCUCCCGGCGCGCUAACCUUGCCCAGCCAGCAGACCUGCUUAGAGCAUCCAAUCGCAUGCGGGGCCUGCUUAGGGUCAGAGAGUUUAUUCCUUCACCAUAGGUUCCAGAGAAAGCUAUCCCCAGAUGCAAGUGAUUGCUAGGAAGUAGAAAAGGUAUUUGUCAAGCAAAAGUCCGUGGAGCAGGUCUGAGGAUAGUACUAGAGUGUUAAAUGUUACUGAGACAACUAGUUGGCAUGGUGAUCCAACCUGACAUAUUUAGUAGGUUUUUGAAAAGUUGCUUGAAAUUGUAACAUUAGGACAGUCAUGAAACUUACGGGGGGGGGGGGGGGUAAAAGAAUUUUUUUUUACCAGAUGUGGAAUAUAAUAUUUAUUUCUUGCCACUGGAAUGAUAUGUUCUGGAAAAGAUAAAUUAUAAAUACCCUUUCUUUCCAGUAACGUUUGUUUCUAACCUGAUAGAUAAUUGACACACAUUUAGAGGGCUGGGGGUAUAAUUCCUUAGAGACCCUGGAUUCAGUGACUAGCAACACUAACUAGGAAUCAUCAUUUUGAAUUAGGUUCUCUGACCAUUCCCCUUCCACACUAAACUCUUACAACUA